rnacentral:rRNA from 1 species
GGCCCAGAACUCCUACGGGAGGCAGCAGUGGGGAAUUUUGGACAAUGGGCGCAAGCCUGAUCCAGCCAUUCCGCGUGCAGGAUGAAGGCCCUCGGGUUGUAAACUGCUUUUGUACGGAGCGAAACGGCGCUUUCGAAUACAGAGCGCUAAUGACGGUACCGUAAGAAUAAGCACCGGCUAACUACGUGCCAGCAGCCGCGGUAAUA